ACAAGAGUAAACAAGCAUUCACAUAUGUACGAGUGGACUGUCUCUGCCUUAUACAGUAUCUGCUUCAACUGACAACAAAACAUCAUACACCUGGUUAAGUGUCUUUAAUGGGGAUAAUUUUGUGUUUUACAGAAACAUAAAACAUUAGGCAGUAUGUAAGAUACGGAGAGGACCAGCACCACAUGGCAUUCCACUGGAAGUGUGCAGCUGCCAAUUCCCACCAUGGAGUUAAAAAAAAGAGAACGCUACUAUUUCCCUUUUCAUUUUCUUUCUUUUUUUUUGACAUUCAAGCCUGUUUGUUAAUUGAUAAUGCAGUCUCUUUGUGUACAAGUACACAAUUAUUUGAAUGUUUUGUCAACUUUUGUUUGGUGAAACAGAGCUUGAGGCAGAGAAUAUGGAAGAAGAGGAGGAGGAUGCAGCUGCUGAGGAAGAGCAGCCUGAGGAGGACGUAGCAGAGGAAAUUAACCAAACAGAAGAACAAAUUGAAGUAGAGCCCACAGGUAAUCAAAUUUUGUCCAUUGAGAUUCAUUUUCAUCAUGGUUGAAAUUUUGAUCU
rnacentral:lncRNA from 1 species